GUCCCCGUAGCUCAGUGGAUAGAGCGACUGACUGCUAAUUAGUAGGUCGUGGGUUCGAGUCCCUCCGGGGACG
rnacentral:tRNA from 1 species